rnacentral:lncRNA from 1 species
UCUCUCCGUCUCUUUCUAAAGCAUCUCACUCUCCCCUCUCUAUCUCUUCAUCACCAGUUCACCACAACACGCCCUUCACACGACGCAAAAGGGCGCGCGCGCACUCCUCAAUCUCACAUCCACUCGCCCAUCUCUCCCUCUCUAUCCAGAGAGAGAGAGAUGGGGCGCUCUCCCUCGCCGUCGGCCGUCGCCGUCCUCGGCACCGCCGCCUACGAGCACCGCUGCCCGAGCUCCCCCGACGACGACUACUACGAGGACGACGACUUCGAGUUCACGCCUCUCCUCUUCAGGCCCCGGCGCCGGCACGGCGCGCGCACCGAGCGUCCAAGAACCGCCGAGGCCGCAGCCACGCAGCCUCCCCAGCAGCGCGCGCGCCGCGGCGCGCCAACAAGCGUCGCGGUGGUGGCGACGCCCACGCCGGCGAGCAGGAAGGUGCGGUGGCACGACAUGGCGUUCGGGUCCGUGCGCGUGCCGGCGGCCAUGGACAUGGGCGAGAUCAGGAGGCGCCUGCACGCGCGGCGGCAGGCGGUCGCCGCGGCCGGCGCCGGGAACGAGCCCUCCUCCGCCACCGCCGCCGCGGGGUGGGCGCCGUGGAGGCUGAUCCGGUCGCUGAGCUGCAAGGGCGUCGAGGCCGUGGCGGCCGCCGCGGCACCGGUGAGGCUGGUGUAGGUACGUGGUCGUGCAGAGCCGACGGCAGUCGUUGGUGAUCGAGGCAAGCUGGUGCGGCCCGUGAAUGUCGAAAGGGCAGCGCCGGCCGGUGAGGCGGCGAGCGCGCGUCACGGGAGUGGCGCCAAGGUUGGUGGAAGUUGAGAGGCACAAGAGCCAAGCGGUGCCUGUUAUUGUUCAGUUUCAGCUUCUUUUCUUCUCCACCUCCUAAUAAAACUUUCUUCUGUUUCUUUCUUUCUGUUCGGUGUUUCAUGUUAGAUUAGUUGGCUAAGUAUAGUAUAGCUGUUGGUUACUUGUAUAAUACUAUGUACAAAAGUGUUAUCUCCUGCAAUGAGCAGGGUCUUGGAGAUCAUGGUCUAGGCGCCUGAUAUCAAGAUAUUUAUAUGAAUAAUAAUAUUUUAUUGCGAGGGUCGCGAGGAAUGGCUAAAAUGUUUCCAGUGGUUAAAAAUUAUACUUCGUCCAUUUACAAAUACUCUCUCUGACCAAAAAUUACUUCACGCUUUAACUAAAAUUCAGUCAAUCUCUGAAAAUUUGACUGUUAAAUUUUGUGAUACUCAUCUUAUAGGCUAUAGCUAUACUUUAAUAAGAAAAAAUACAGUAC